CUGUUGUUCUUGCCUCCCUUCCCUCCAGGCGAGCGGCAGCCCCCGGCUGCGGCCGGCGGGAGUGCUGCCCCCUGUGGACACAGCGCGGCACUGCAGCCCCCCCGAGCCAGCGCCCCGCCCCUCGCAGCUGGGCGCCGGGGGGGCGGGGGAAGGACGGCUGCCGAGGGAGGGGAGGGCGAGGGGCGGGAGAAGCGAGCGGCGAGCGGGGCGGUGUCUGUAAAUAGCGGGGAGGGGCGAAGGUGUUUCAGAAGCGUAAAGAGACGCCGUGGCUGAGGCAGGCUCUGCGACGACGGCGUCGGCCUCCGAGCGCAGCCGAAGCGUGCGCCCCGAGGAGCCCGGCAUUCUUAGGAGAAUGGUUGGAGGAGGAGCGCAACUUCCGGAAAAUCCAGAUCGUGUCAAGUGCAACACUUUUUGUGGCAGAUUCAUCACAUCACAAAAGGGAUCCGCCCAGUGUCAAAGAUGGUGCUUGAGAUUGAGACUACAAUUAAGUUGAGGAUUGUGACUAGGAGCAGGAGGGUGCCACAGCCUUGGACUCAGGAUAAAGCUGGAGACUCGAGGACCCAGGCACACUCAGGAGAGUUUGACCAAGAGGCUGACAGCGAUCACAGGGCCCUCUGAGGCAGACUCAUUUCAGGUCCAAUGUGGAUUCACCUCACCGGUCAUCCAAAAGAUAAGUUGGGGGGCCACAGCCUGGAGAUGGGAUGAUAGGAGAGUAGUGGCUUGGAAAUUCCUAGACAGAUUUAAAAAUUUGCAGAGGGUGAAGAGAUGUCCUCUAAGGGGCCCCGUGGAACAGCUAAAGGGAGAGGCUCUGCUUUCGAUUGCAGCUGUAGGGUAUGCGGUGCAGAACAGUUCCGGUCUGUGUUGUGUUGUUCGGUGUCCUGUGUUACCUAGUGUGUCUUUGGGGUCCCUUGGAUCCAAUAUCUCUGCCUUCUCCCCUCGAGGCCCUUAGCAAAACCAUCAGCUGUCGUGUCUAGGUUCUCAAACGCUGGCGCUUCUCAGCAGGAUGCCAAUAUCAUUUGUUCUUUUACCGGCGGGCUCAGCCGCAUCUCGAGUCACAUCUCCGAAGCAUCGAGUCAGACGUCUUUUGAGGCCUGGUUCCCGGCUGUAUCAGCAUCCAUCCUUUCCAGCCGUGAGCUGUAAAGUCCUGGGGCACGUAAGAUUGCACGAUAUGGAGAACAUUCUAAACGUAGCAUUGUCUCACAGCCGCCUUGAUCAUCGUGACCAACAGGUCUUAUAACAGGUCACUCUGUUCCAGUCUUCUGCUCCUUAGAGGAGCUGUCUCCAUCCACUGUCCCCUGAGCAUCAGUCAUCUCUUUUGGCAUCCUCGUGGUCCUUGCCACUACUUAUUCUUGCCAGGAACUCUUUUCUCAUCAUUGUGUCACAAUUUGUAGUAUAAAGUGAUGUUUGUGUUUAGGGACCCCAUUGUUUGUCACGUCCCGUCCUGUGUCACGGGUGUCUGCACAUAUUUGUGCCGGAGCUGCUCUGCCCCGCUGCGUAGCCUGGUGCGAUAGGACCAGUCCCGGGGACUUGAACUUUGUAGCGUGGGCUGUAGUUGGACUCUAGGUGGUAUUCCUAGAUUGACACAAGAUGUUUGGAGCUGUGAAGGUAUCCUGCAGCCCUUUGACUUUUGUUCUAACUUUCUUUCAGAUGCAGAAGGAUAGAAUCCAUGGCGGAGCGCCCCAUUCCGGGUGCAGAGGUUCGGCCGAGCAGGAAGUCAAGCCGGAUAGCAGCAAUCAAGUUGAAGAGGGCAAGGCAGUCCACUCGGAGUGGCACCCGGGUAGCCUUUGGCAAUGGCGGAGGAGUUGCAGCGGACCCUGCGACGACAGCGUGGCCUCCGAGCACGGCGCAAUCGUGCCGCCCGAGGACCCGGGCAUUCUUAGGAGAGCGGAGACUACGAGACAACAGCCCAGUGACAGCAGGAACUUCCCAGAUGGCGAGGCGGCCUUGCUUUGCACCUGACACGGACCGGGUUCCCCAGAUGUCAGAGGUGCUGAUGCAUUAUAUCCUUGUCAGAGCGCCCCAUCCUGGGCUUGUGGGUUCCCCUGAGCAGGAAGUCAAGCCAGAGAGCAGCAGUCAAGGCCAAGUGGGCAAGGCAAUUGACUUUGCAUAUGUCCAGCCACCGCCACCAGCCAGCCCAUGCACCGGGUUUCCUGCACAUGUGGGCCUUGUGGAAGUAUUACAGGACUCUGCGAUGAAGCCUUUAAAUUUUCUCAUUCACCGUCCUAUCUCGGCAGACCCUGCGACAACGGCGUCAGCCUCCGAGCACGGCCAAAGCGUGCGGCCCGAGGUCCUGGGCAUUCUUAAGAAUGCACCCCAUCCCAGGCUCGUGGGUUCCCCUGAGCAGGAAGUCAAGGCAGAUAGCAGCAGUCAAGGCCAAGUGGGCAAGGCAAUUGACUCGGCAGAUGUCCAGCCCCCGUCACGCACUGGCCAAUGCACCGGGUUUCCUGCACAUGUGGGCCUUGUGGAAGUAUUACAGGACUCUGCGAUGAAGCCUUUAAAUUUUCUCAUUCACCAUCCUAUCUGGGUAGCCAUCAGGGCCAGCCAAGGAGUUGUGGUGAGUCGGGGAGGUUGGGAGCAGCAGCGAGGGUCCUUUCAGGUUUCAGCAAUGCCAAAUCAAGUUGUCUCCGCUUAAUCUAGGCAGACAAUGGUGUCUUAAUCCUGUGACAAUGGCGUCAGCCUCCGAGCACGGCCAAAGCGUGCGGCCCGAGGACCUGGGCAUUCUUAAGAAUGUGAGUAAGAUACAACAGCCCGGUGCCAGCAGGGACCGCUCAGAUGGCGAGGCUGCUUUCUUUUGCACCUGACACAGAUUGGCAUGCCCACCUGUCUGAGAGAUGAGUAGAGGGCUGCGACCCGCAGAGGGGAUGAAAGUGGGUUGCUGGGCUGGGACUCACCGGGAGGGAUUUUUGAGUCUGCUUUGGAGACGGAUGUGGAAGAAGUGGCCCCUUAGGCCAUGAAAAGGGAAAGUGUCACUUUUGAUCACAGUGCUGAGGUGCUCAGGGCAGAGCAGUCCCGGUGUGUCUCGUGUCACUUGUCCGUCGUGCAUUAUGUGUUGUUUGGGUAUCCCAUGUCACAGGUCUUUUUCCUUAGCCCUUUGAGGGGCCUGUCAGAAACCCAUGCAUCAUUCUUAGCAUCUGUGAUCUCUGCAUUCCUUGGCCUGGCAUUGAUGCCAUAGAACUUUUGACUCGGGAGCUCAGACAGGCAUCAGAACUGCCACUCUUUUUAGAAGCAUCCGGUCAGAUGUCUUUUCAGGUCUUGUUCUGAGCUGUAUGGACAGGCCCCACAAGGAUCCAUUGCGGCAGAUUAGGAGUCGUGAGGAUUGGUAGAGGAUUCUGACCGUAGGAUUCACAGGCAUCCAUCUUUGCAGCUUCUUGGAAUACAUCAUUCAGUUAGCAUCUUCUUCCUCCAGGGUUCUCUGAGCCUCAUCAGCUCGCCAUCGCUCUCGACUCGGUCAUCUCAUAUUGCAUUCUUUUGGUCCUUGCAGUCAUCCUUCUUGCCAAGAGAUUUCUAUCCCUGUUAUGUCCCCAUUGUUUGUCACGUCCCGUCCUGUGUCACGGGUGUGUGCACGUAUUUGUGCCGGAGCCGCUCUGCCCUGCUGCGUAGCGUGGUGCGAUAGGACAAGUCCCAGGGACUUGAGAUUUGUAAGGCGGGGUGUAGUCAGGCUCUAGAUGGUAUUCCUAGUUUGACACAGGAUGUUUGGAGCUGUGAAGUUUUCCUGCUGCCCUUUGACUUGUCUUAACUUUCUUUCAGA